rnacentral:rRNA from 1 species
CAGCCGCCGCGGUAAUACGAAGGGUGCAAGCGUUAAUCGGAAUUACUGGGCGUAAAGCGUGCGUAGGCGGUUUGUUAAGUCUGUUGUGAAAUCCCCGGGCUUAACCUGGGAAUGGCAAUGGAUACUGGCAAGCUAGAGUGUGUCAGAGGAUGGUGGAAUUCCCGGUGUAGCGGUGAAAUGCGUAGGGAUCGGGAGGAACAUCAGUGGCGAAGGCGGCCAUCUGGGACAACACUGACGCUGAGGCACGAAAGCGUGGGGAGCAAACAGGAUUAGAUACCCCCGUAGUCCCUGUCUCUUAUAA